rfam:Felis catus isolate Cinnamon breed Abyssinian chromosome B1, whole genome shotgun sequence.
GCCUGGGUGGCUCAGUCGGUUAAGCAUCUGACUUCAGCUCAGGUCAUGAUCUCACCACCUGUGAGUUCGAGUCCCACAUCGGACU